GAUGAACGCUGGCGGCGUGCCUAAUACAUGCCAGUCGAGCGAACAGACGAGGAGCUUGCUCCUCUGACGUUAGCGGCGGACGUGUGAGUAACACGUGGAUAACCUACCUAUAAGACUGGGAUAACUUCGGGAAACCGGAGCUAAUACCGGAUAAUAUAUUGAACUUCAUUGUUCAAUAGUGAAAGACGGUUUUGCUGUCACUUAUAGAUGGAUCCUCGCCGUAUGAGCUAUUUGGUAAGGUAACGGGUCACCCAGGCAACGAUACAUAGUCGACCGGAGAGGGGGAUCGGCCCCACCUGGACUUAGAAACGGCCCAGACUCCUUCGGGAGGGAGCAGGAGGGAAUUUUCGCGAAUGGGGGAAAGGCUGACCGAGCAACGCCGGGGGAGGGAAUAAGGGUCUCGGAUCGUAAAACUCUGUUGUAAGGGAAAAAAGAAUGUGAGAGUGAAAAGUUCACACUGUGACGGUACCUAAUCAGAAAGCCACGGCUAACUACGUG
rnacentral:rRNA from 1 species